GCGGAUAAUCAAAACAAUUAUAGUGGGAGGAUCAAUGAUGAUUUGGAAAGGCAUCCUAAGAAGCGAAAGCUAAAGAGCAUUGCUUCAAGCUAUGAAUUUGCACCUCGCGUCCCAGCACCUCCUGUUACUGCCUCAUCAGCUCCAAAACCUUCAUUUGCUGGGCGUAACCCACUCACUGAUUGGACUGAGCAUGAAACUUUUGUUUUGCUUGAUGCUUGGGGCGAUAAAUUUUUGCAAUGUGGGAGGAAGAGUCUUCGUUCUGAGGAAUGGCAAGAAGUUGCCGAGAAGGUAUCAGAAGUAUCAAAAAUUGAGAGGAC
rnacentral:lncRNA from 1 species